AUUCAUCCUCUGAGUCAUCUAAUAAUAUAAUAGAUCUUAGCCUCCUUUUCUUAUCACUGCGGAGUUCAUGUGACGAUGUUGGUAUUUUUGGCUAACGCCCAUCUUUCUUUGUUGAAGUUCCAUUACUAUCGACUGGUUCCUUUUUAACAGGCACCGGUUCACAUGACAAUUUGGUAGCUGAAACUUUAUUGCUCUGUGACUGCAAAAUAAAUAUAAAUUUUCUAAAUUAGACAAUUGUUUACAAAUUUAGAAGUGUGUACUAUGAAAAACAAACCACCUUUUAUCAGGCAUGUUCUGCUACUUUGUUUCAUGUUUUAAUACGGUGUCCACCUCAACAUCCAUCAAUUCUUGUGAAUAAUUAGAGACUUAUAAAGAUGAUAAAACACCUUUACCUCCUCAGCUUUAUCAUUCAAGGAGAGCUUGUCGAGCCUAUCAUCGGGCACAAAUGUUCUUUUAAUUACAUAAUUUUGUGUGCCAAAGAUGAGGUUACUAUAAUCGAGCUUGAAUAUAAAAAUAAUUUCUUUUCCACAGGCUUCAUCUACGUGAGCAAUCCAAUGACAUCUAUAUAUUUGGAGAUUAAUUACAUGGCUGCUAGAAAUAUUUAAUAGUUGAAAGUCAUAGUAACAACUAUAACAUACCUGAGCAUUGUAUAUCUUUUUCUUCCCGUUCUUGUAGUGUCUCCUUGGUUGUGAAAUCGAAGUAAAAUCUGGGAAAACCUCUACAAAUCCUUUAACCUCCUUUACCUUUGUGUUGUAUGCAACAAAUAUUUUAUUUUCAUUGCUCGCUGACCGAUACUUUGUGGAUUCCACUACCUUGAAAUUGUUGAAUGUGUAAAUAGACUGCUCUUUAAUUUUUGAUCUAAAGUGCCUAUUAGGUUCUUCUAGAUAAUAGCAUGAAUUGUUUGGCCAUGUGAAAACAAUGGGACAUACUUAACAAUUGUUGUUGAAACACAUGGAACAAUGUGCGGCUACUUAUAUAAAGUGCAGACCUCUUCAUCCAACAAAAUCAUAUCUAGGCUGAUUAGUUAUCGGUUUUAGGAUUGAUCGGUUCCCACAUUCUCAUUACUUUCACUUGUAUGUUCUAGUUUUGACCCUUGUUGUUAAGUCGCUCAACUUCUUGUAUGCCAUAAUGCUCCGUGUUCAAAAGAACUACAAAAAAAUUAUCAGGAAUAAAUGAGUCUAUACUAAAUAAUAAUUAUCGAACUUACUGAUUCAGGUGAGAGGUUGGUCAGCAAGACUGCGUUGGAUGUCGAGUUGUAUGUUGUGUGAAUAGGUUUGGCGUGUCCUCAUCGAGAGUUGAGUUGCACGUCCCUUUGUCAUUCCAGAUUACUUCGGAUCCUAUAGAAUUGGCUAAUCUUCUUGGCGUGAUGUGCGUUGGGUGCCUUCGCCGGGUUUGGUGGCGUGAUAUGCUUUGGCUGGCUUGGGAGGGCUUGUAUAUAUUGGUUGGUCUGGCUAGCCUAUUGUAGCAGACACCGUGUUGAGUUUCCUUGUCCUAUUUGCAUGUAUCUAUAGGUGUGCUUGUCUAUUUUGGUUUGGCCUUCAUGUCGUGACGUUCUUUAUCUCUUUGGGUUUCCAUGUUGAACACCAUUAUGACAUGUUGGACCGCGUAUGGUCUAUUAUUUUUAUUAUAUGGACAUAUAGAUCCUUUCCUUGUAAUGGAUGCAAGAUGUGAGAAUGUGUUGGAGCGGUCUAUGGGUGUUCGAUGGAUUUGUUUGCAUCGUCCAUUGUAUAUGUUCUAUGAGACAUGCAUAUGUGCACCUAUAUUGUUGUACCUAACUCUUAAAAUCCUUUAAUCCCAAUC
rnacentral:lncRNA from 1 species